CAGUCGCCGCGGGAAUACGUAGGGUGCAAGCGUUAAUCGGAAUUACUGGGCGUAAAGCGUGCGCAGGCGGUUAUAUAAGACAGAUGUGAAAUCCCCGGGCUCAACCUGAGAACUGCAUUUGUGACUGUAUAGCUAGAGUACGGCAGAGGGGGAUGGAAUUCCGCGUGUAGCAGUGAAAUGCGUAGAUAUGCGGAGGAACACCGAUGGCGAAGGCAAUCCCCUGGGCCUGUACUGACGCUCAUGCACGAAAGCGUGGGGAGCAAACAGGAUUAGAUACCCCCGUAGUCCCUGUCUCUUAUAC
rnacentral:rRNA from 1 species